AUUUGAACGCUGGCGGCAUGCUUUACACAUGCAAGUCGAACGGCAGCGCGGGGCAACCUGGCGGCGAGUGGCGAACGGGUGAGUAAUAUAUCGGAACGUACCCAGAAGUGGGGGAUAACGUAGCGAAAGUUACGCUAAUACCGCAUACGAUCUACGGAUGAAAGUAGGGGACCGCAAGGCCUUAUGCUUUUGGAGCGGCCGAUAUCUGAUUAGCUAGUUGGUGAGGUAAAGGCUCACCAAGGCGACGAUCAGUAGCUGGUCUGAGAGGACGACCAGCCACACUGGAACUGAGACACGGUCCAGACUCCUACGGGAGGCAGCAGUGGGGAAUUUUGGACAAUGGGCGCAAGCCUGAUCCAGCAAUGCCGCGUGAGUGAAGAAGGCCUUCGGGUUGUAAAGCUCUUUUGUCAGGGAAGAAACGGUAGAGGCUAAUAUCCUUUGCUAAUGACGGUACCUGAAGAAUAAGCACCGGCUAACUACGUG
rnacentral:rRNA from 1 species